GGCGAGUUACGAUCCCGUGCGAGGUUAAGCUGAAGAGGCGGAGCCGCAGCGAAAGCGAGUCUGAAUAGGGCGUUUAGUACGUGGUCGUAGACCCGAAACCAGGUGAUCUACCCAUGUCCAGGGUGAAGUUCAGGUAACACUGAAUGGAGGCCCGAACCCACGCACGUUGAAAAGUGCGGGGAUGAGGUGUGGGUAGCGGAGAAAUUCCAAUCGAACCUGGAGAUAGCUGGUUCUCCCCGAAAUAGCUUUAGGGCUAGCCUUAAGUGUAAGAGUCUUGGAGGUAGAGCACUGAUUGGACUAGGGGUCCUCAUCGGAUUACCGAAUUCAGUCAAACUCCGAAUGCCAAUGACUUAUCCUUAGGAGUCAGACUGCGAGUGAUAAGAUCCGUAGUCAAAAGGGAAACAGCCCAGACCGCCAGCUAAGGUCCCAAAGUGUGUAUUAAGUGGAAAAGGAUGUGGAGUUGCUUAGACAACUAGGAUGUUGGCUUAGAAGCAGCCACCAUUUAAAGAGUGCGUAAUAGCUCACUAGUCGAGUGACUCUGCGCCGAAAAUGUACCGGGGCUAAAUACACCACCGAAGCUGCGGAUUGAUACCAAUGGUAUCAGUGGUAGGGGAGCGUUCUAAGGACAGUGAAGUCAGACCGGAAGGACUGGUGGAGUGCUUAGAAGUGAGAAUGCCGGUAUGAGUAGCGAAAGACGGGUGAGAAUCCCGUCCACCGAAUGCCUAAGGUUUCCUGAGGAAGGCUCGUCCGCUCAGGGUUAGUCAGGACCUAAGCCGAGGCCGACAGGCGUAGGCGAUGGACAACAGGUUGAUAUUCCUGUACCACCUCUUUAUCGUUUGAGCAAUGGAGGGACGCAGAAGGAUAGAAGAAGCGUGCGAUUGGUUGUGCACGUCCAAGCAGUUAGGCUGAUAAGUAGGCAAAUCCGCUUAUCGUGAAGGCUGAGCUGUGAUGGGGAAGCUCCUUAUGGAGCGAAGUCUUUGAUUCCCCGCUGCCAAGAAAAGCUUCUAGCGAGAUAAAAGGUGCCUGUACCGCAAACCGACACAGGUAGGCGAGGAGAGAAUCCUAAGGUGUGCGAGAGAACUCUGGUUAAGGAACUCGGCAAAAUGACCCCGUAACUUCGGGAGAAGGGGUGCUUUCUUAACGGAAAGCCGCAGUGAAUAGGCCCAAGCGACUGUUUAGCAAAAACACAGCUCUCUGCGAAGCCGUAAGGCGAAGUAUAGGGGGUGACACCUGCCCGGUGCUGGAAGGUUAAGGAGAGGGGUUAGCGUAAGCGAAGCUCUGAACUGAAGCCCCAGUAAACGGCGGCCGUAACUAUAACGGUCCUAAGGUAGCGAAAUUCCUUGUCGGGUAAGUUCCGACCCGCACGAAAGGUGUAACGAUUUGGGCACUGUCUCAACCAGAGACUCGGUGAAAUUAUAGUACCUGUGAAGAUGCAGGUUACCCGCGACAGGACGGAAAGACCCCGUGGAGCUUUACUGUAGCCUGAUAUUGAAUUUUGGUACAGUUUGUACAGGAUAGGCGGGAGCCUUUGAAACCGGAGCGCUAGCUUCGGUGGAGGCGCUGGUGGGAUACCGCCCUGACUGUAUUGAAAUUCUAACCUACGGGUCUUAUCGACCCGGGAGACAGUGUCAGGUGGGCAGUUUGACUGGGGCGGUCGCCUCCUAAAGUGUAACGGAGGCGCCCAAAGGUUCCCUCAGAAUGGUUGGAAAUCAUUCGUAGAGUGCAAAGGCAUAAGGGAGCUUGACUGCGAGACCUACAAGUCGAGCAGGGACGAAAGUCGGGCUUAGUGAUCCGGUGGUUCCGCAUGGAAGGGCCAUCGCUCAACGGAUAAAAGCUACCCCGGGGAUAACAGGCUUAUCUCCCCCAAGAGUCCACAUCGACGGGGAGGUUUGGCACCUCGAUGUCGGCUCAUCGCAUCCUGGGGCUGUAGUCGGUCCCAAGGGUUGGGCUGUUCGCCCAUUAAAGCGGUACGCGAGCUGGGUUCAGAACGUCGUGAGACAGUUCGGUCCCUAUCCGUCGUGGGCGUAGGAAAUUUGAGAGGAGCUGUCCUUAGUACGAGAGGACCGGGAUGGACGCACCGCUGGUGUACCAGUUGUUCUGCCAAGGGCAUAGCUGGGUAGCUAUGUGCGGAAGGGAUAAGUGCUGAAAGCAUCUAAGCAUGAAGCCCCCCUCAAGAUGAGAUUUCCCAUAGCGUAAGCUAGUAAGAUCCCUGAAAGAUGAUCAGGUUGAUAGG
rnacentral:rRNA from 1 species